UGGGUGUCCAUGUCCCCACUAUGGCCAGAUGGCCAUGCAUCUUUCUCUUUGUCCUGGAAACAGCAAGAGACCACCUCUUGCUAUGCAUAUUUGUCCAGUGAGGCUCAUGCAGAGUGGCCAACAGCCCCCCAUGUCCUUUCCAAGUUGUGUCUACAUCCACAAAUACAACUCAGGAAUCAUUAAAAAGACUUCAACAUUUGGAACUACCAAAAGUGAGGCCUGUCAAGAAAGAGGAGGUGGAGACCAUGGAGUCUGGAAUUGCAGUCAUGGAAGAGCACCCUUCUCCUGAGCUUCUGGUCCCCUUCGUCGUAGUGUCUGGGUCAAGGUCCCUAAGGAUGGCAGUGCACGUGAGAAUCCAGCAAGCCCCUCGUGGGUGAAGAUCACACAGUAAACACAGCAACGAAGUAGACAGUCCCUUA